UACGUAGGGUGCAAGCGUUGUCCGGAUUUAUUGGGCGUAAAGAGCUCGUAGGCGGUUUGUCGCGUCUGCUGUGAAAACUCGGGGCUUAACUCCGGGCCUGCAGUGGGUACGGGCAGACUAGAGUGCGGUAGGGGAGACUGGAAUUCCUGGUGUAGCGGUGAAAUGCGCAGAUAUCAGGAGGAACACCGGUGGCGAAGGCGGGUCUCUGGGCCGAUACUGACGCUGAGGAGCGAAAGCGUGGGGAGCGAACAGG
rnacentral:rRNA from 1 species